ACGAACGAUGCUAUUCAACGUGGAAAACGAUCGGGGUGUCGUAUCCCGUAUGUUCUUCGGCUACCCUUGCUCAGGGACCCUUAAAAACUCGAUUUACAUGAACAAAUAAAUUUGUGAAAAACUUGACGAAAUUCUCGCGUAUGUCGCACCUGCAGAGCGGAGCUUUUGACUCUGAAACUUUUGACGAUCUAUUCAUCUUUCAUUCGUCUUGCGUUGUACGUCAGAUCGCGAGUAACGUGUUUGGUGAAAGUUUUGUUCGAGAUUGAUUUAAUGCACUCAUACGCGUGACGAUGAAUUGUUGUCGCGAGUGAGUUUCAUAAAAAUAUAAAAAAAUGUGCUAUAGAUAUAUACGAGUCGACGAAUGAAAAAUUGACAGGGGACCAUGUAAAUUGGAACGCUCGAAGGGAAAAUCGUCGAAAAUCAACCGCGAUCGAGCGAAUCGAUCUCAUGAAAAUAAUGCCGCAGGUACGAUCUCCCAAUGAUCGAGGGAAAAACCGCACUCACCGAGCAACGAAUAAACGGUGAAAUAAUAAUUGUAUCAUCGCAUACUUUUGGAAGUUCCGUAAACUAUUGGAAGAAAUAUGUUUAUCGUCGGUGGAAAAAAAGUAUCCGAAGGUACCUGGACGAUGCAGAUCUUCAGGGUGGAGAAUAUUCCAACUUCAAAUAUCACGACCUCGUUACGUGACGUGAUUAAGGAAUAUACGACAUUUAAAGAAAAGCCGUCCUCACCUACCUAAACAGGAAAUAAAAAACCGACUCAUCUCGCGGUGAUGGAUCUAAUGUUCGGUUCUUUUUGCGAACCCCGUGCAAAGAUAUACUCGUUAUUAAUCAGUAGCCAAUUGUGGCCAUGCUUCACGGAAGACGCUGAUCAUGCGACAUAGAAGGUGAUGAUAUCUUGAAAAAAAAUUCGAACUGCGAACGAUUUUGAUUAAACACUCGAAAUAUUUGUAAAAUUGUACAGUGGGGAAUAAUUGGACGUUUUUUUCUUGCAAAUAUUCGUUGAGAGUAUUGAGGAAUUUCAUGAUAAUAAAUUUUUCGAAAUUCAAUUGACUUUUUAUUCGUUGAUCGCUGAGCCUAAAAAGUGAUACUUGAAUAACAUAAAAGAUGGUGACCAGAGUGGCGGAUGGUUGAAAAAUUGUAAGUUUAGUGAGUUACUGUGACCCCCGGUGUCAAAAUGUUGGAUAUAGGUACACCUUUCAACGUUACGUCAAAUUUUACGAGCAACUUGACAGAAAUUAUCAACUCAAACGUCACCAUAAAAGGACCAAAAGAGUGCAAUGGCACCCCAGGCGAAGGUGCCCUUUUUGAAUUUAUUACAAACGGCGUGCUAUUAAAUUUAGUCGGUCUAUUUGGAUUGUUUGGAAACAUCAUCUCGAUGAUAAUUCUCUCGCGACCUCAGAUGAAGUCCUCCAUCAAUUACCUACUCAUUGGUUUGGCGAGAUGCGACACCGUGCUCAUCAUAACUUCGUUUCUUGUAUUCGGUCUGCCAGGCAUUUACCCCUAUACCGGUCUCCUCUUCAAUUACAAGUUCAUAGUUUACCCAAAAUUGGUGAAAUUCUUGUAUCCAUUGGCUAACAUCACGCAAAUGGUAACUGUUUAUUUGACCUUGACUGUAACCAUGGAAAGGUACGUGGCGGUUUGUCAUCCCCUCAGAGCCAGAUCUAUGUGCACCUACGGAAGAGCAAGACUCGCCGUUCUAGUCAUCAUUAUAUUUUCCACCGUCUACAAUCUACCAAAAUACUGGGAAGUCGCAUCCGUAAAGGAAAGACACUGGAAGUACAACGUGACGGCGUACUGCGUGAGCCCGACCGAUUUCAGAUUGAAUCCAUUAUACGUGACAAUUUACAUUCACUGGAUGUACUUCGUGUUUUACUACGCCAUCCCAUUUACCGCACUUGUGAUAUUCAACUUGGCGAUAUAUCGACAGGUGAGGAAAGCUAACAGGGAUCUGCAGCAUCUGUCGCACCACCAGAGACGAGAAAUCGGUUUGGCGACGAUGCUUUUAUGCGUUGUCAUCGUAUUUUUGAUAUGCAACGUCCUUCCCCUGGUGACAAAUAUCUUCGAGAAGUUCUACGACGAAAUUCCAUCGUGGCUUGUCCAGAGCGGUAAUUUAACGGUGACGAUCAACAGCAGUGUGAACUUCAUAAUCUACGUUAUAUUCGGACGAAAAUUCAAGAGAAUAUUUCUAAGGUUAUUCUGCAGUUCCCACUUAUUCGGCCCUGGUCGCGACAGUCCGGAGUUUCAGACUAACGACGAAUCUCUCGUGACCGGUGUAACUAAUAUCGAGCUUCGUAACUCUAUACGUCGUUGUCACAGGUCUAACACAACCAUCAGCAGGAACAACAACGUCCAUUUGAACAACGGAAAUUCACUUCCGCGACAAAGUACCAAGACCAAGGUGAGAUCCGCGAGCCCAGGACCCUGCGUCUAUUACCCGGCACGGAGCCCCGUGAGAAGUCCCAGUCAAAUGUCGCGAACUUCUAGCGUGCAAAAUGGCUGGGACAAAAACAAUAUCGCCGAUACGAAGCUACAGUAAACCGUUGAAACGACGAAAAAUCAUUCGAGAUACCAAAAACACUGCUCUACUCAUUUACGGUGCAACGUGGUCUCGAUACGAUUUUUUAGAACUUUUAGCGAGCGGUACGUCCUCAACGAACACUGCAGUUUCAACGAAACGGAUCGAAAGGUGCCCGCAAGCUCAAAAGUACAAAUAAUACAAAGUGCAUAGCGGAGUGAAGAGUGGGACAUAUCGGUGGAUUGUAACGUAAGAAGAAGAAUAUGAACUGACAUGAUUUUCUUUUCUUCUCGUUUUUUUUUUUUUUUUAAUCACCUAAGACGGGAUUAUCGUGGGCCAGGUAAGGAAUAGUCGUUGUGUCAUUAGAAAGAUGGUGAGACUCCAUUAUUUUUCGAUAUAAAAAGUGUUGUACAGGGUGUACGUUGUCUGUGUAUAAAUCGAAGGGGACCCUUAUUAGUAGGUAAAGUUUUAUGAAAGAAACUGUCCGCAGAAGGUUGAAAAAUCAAGGAAAAAAGAAAAGAAACGAUGAGAAUCUAAGCAUCCGAAGAAAGUGAUGGUGAAGAAUAUCGUUGUUGAUGUUGAUGAAAAAAAUAUAAAGUUGAUUUUCACCGCAAGAUUCACCGCUUUCAGUAAAAUACGCGACUGACUACAAUUACGGC
rnacentral:misc_RNA from 1 species